UACGAAGGGCCCGAGCGUUAUCCGGAUUUAUUGGGUUUAAAGGGUGCGUAGGCGGAUUUAUAAGUCAGUGGUGAAAUCUCCCCGCUCAACGGGGAAACUGCCAUUGAAACUAUUUAUCUUGAGUACAUUUGAGGCGGGCGGAAUGUGUCAUGUAGAGGUGAAAUUCUUAGAUAUGACACAGAACACCAAUUGCGAAGGCAGCUCGCUAAACUGUAACUGACGCUGAGGCACGAAAGCGUGGGGAUCAAACAGG
rnacentral:rRNA from 1 species